rnacentral:rRNA from 1 species
UACGUAGGGUGCGAGCGUUGUCCGGAUUUAUUGGGCGUAAAGGGUGCGCAGGCGGCCGUCCGCAGUGGCGCGUGGAAUCUCCGGGCUUAACCCGGAGGGGUCGCGCCAGACGGGGCGGCUUGAGGCGGGCAGAGGACCGUGGAACGGGCGGAGUAGGGGUGAAAUCCGUAGAGACCGUCCGGAACACCGAUGGCGAAGGCAGCGGUCUGGGCCCGUCCUGACGCUCGGGCACGAAAGCGUGGGGAGCGAACGGA